rnacentral:sRNA from 1 species
GGCUUCAAGAUUGUUGGGCAUCUUCAG